GUGGGGAAUAUUGGACAAUGGGCGCAAGCCUGAUCCAGCCAUGCCGCGUGAGUGAUGAAGGCCCUAGGGUUGUAAAGCUCUUUCACCGGAGAAGAUAAUGACGGUAUCCGGAGAAGAAGCCCCGGCUAACUUCGUGCCAGCGGCCGCGGUAAUACGAAGGGGGCUAGCGUUGUUCGGAAUUACUGGGCGUAAAGCGCACGUAGGCGGACAUUUAAGUCAGGGGUGAAAUCCCGGGGCUCAACCCCGGAACUGCCUUUGAUACUGGGUGUCUGGAGUAUGGAAGAGGUAAGUGGAAUUCCGAGUGUAGAGGUGAAAUUCGUAGAUAUUCGGAGGAACACCAGUGGCGAAGGCGGCUUACUGGUCCAUUACUGACGCUGAGGUGCGAAAGCGUGGGGAGCAAACAGGAUUAGAUACCCCUGUAGUCC
rnacentral:rRNA from 1 species